AAUACUGCUCUUAUUGUAUCAGCAAGAGGAGGACACUAUGAGAUUGUAAAAGUACUGCUGGAUAAUGGAGCUGAUCCAAACUUAGACCAAGAAUUGUUUUAUUUUAAUUCACCACUGAUUGAAGCAGCAGCAAAAGGACAUUAUCAAGUGGUGGAACUUUUAUUAACCAAAGGAGCUGAUCCAAACUUUACAAGUAAAUAUACUGGUACACCACUGACUGUAGCAGCAAAAAA